rnacentral:lncRNA from 1 species
UUUUUUUUUUUUUUUUUGAGACAGGGUCUGACAUUGAACUUGUAACUGCAACUUAACUAACUUGGUUGCCCGGUGACUCCCAGGGAUCUUUCUGGAUCUGCCUCUGCACAGCUUGAAGAAGUUACCUGCAUUGCAGAUGACUUCUUACAUGGUUGCUGGAGAUGAACUCCGGGACCCUCAUUCUUUUGAAGAGAGGACCCACCAACGGCACUGUGGCACUGGCACUGCACCCCCCCCCACCCCCCACCCCCUGCCCACUCGGGUGAUGCAGCUUUCUGCCUCCGUAGUGAGCUGCGCCAUUACUUAAGGAAGUAAGGUGUAGACUCAGCAACAAUGGGCUCGGCUGUCUUCCCAUUUCUUCUUUUAACUCUUCAGCUUAGGUGGUUAGAAAAGGGGUUGUCAGAAGGGAGAGAUGUUGUUCUUAUGUUAGGAGAUAGUGAAUUCCAGAUGGCAGCUGCCGGUCAUCAGCCAGGGCAGCCUUCAGCACUCCUCACCAGGCUCCACAAUGGGAGCAGUGAACACGAUAGAAAGGGCAAUAUUCCAGAGCACAUGUGCUGUUUUCCAUGGGUUUCUUGUGUUUCUGCCAUGUGAGUGCCCGCUUCCCUUCCUAGACAUGUUAACCUCCUUGGCUGCUUAUUCUCCCGUAGCCCUCGAAUAGUGUCCAGACUGUUCAAUAAACACGUAUUGACCCCACAGUACCAUCAGCGGCAGCAUCAAGAGAACAUUUGCUCUGUUUCCAAGAAUAGAAGCGGAUUUGCUUUGAUCCUUUCAUGUGACCAGGAACAUCUCAUGUGACCACUGACUUUCAGGGGUAAACAGGCAGCUUUGCCCCCUUGGUCGGCCCCACAUGUGUUUAAACCAGCCGAAGUAGGACCCAGACAAGUUCAAGGACUGGACUAGGGAGCUUUGAGUGUACCAUGGAAGAAGAGUCCCUCCUUAACUGGCUUGCCCUCUGAAAAGCCACCUGUACUCUUAGAGAAAUUAAAAGAACAGCCUGUUCCUCC